GGUCUAAGAUGGCGAAAAGAGUCAUGUUUAGUAGCCAAGGAUGACUUGCCUGCUCUUUUUCACCUCCAUGAUUCAAUUUUAAGUUGAUGAGUUUUGGAUUAUUAUGCAUCGAUAAAGAUAAUAAUUCAAAAAAUCAUACUGAAUCUUUGUGGGUUAGGUUUCAGGCAGUCUCCUUGGCUAUUUUGACAUGCUUUUUUCAUCCAUGUUAUACCUGCUUUCCUUUCUAUCUUUAUGAAUCCACAUAAAUUUUUAUCAAAAAUUUACUACAAAAUUAAUCAUUUGAUCCAUCUUUGAUGAUGCCUUAUUCAAAAAUGAUUUGCAACAAAUGUUUGUAGUGGGUGACUGAGUGGACGCUUCGUUUAGAAGGAGAUGCCAAAGAUGAAUAGGAGAAUCAUAUUUGGUAGCCAAGGAUGACUUGCCUACUUCUUGAGAAUUAAGGGUCAUGGUAUGAUCAUGUUUGAAAGAUGAACUAAAAUAUAGGUCGUCUCAACUUAUGACCAUCUUGCUUAGAAAGAUACUAGGCAGUCUCCUUGGCUAUCCUUAUAUGUUCUUCUCUCUCAUCUCAGACAUUUACCUUAAUCCAAAUAAGAGAGACACGACAUGAAAGAUCACGGAAAGAUGAUAACUACCACCGCGUCUUUGUCUUCGAGACGACGCGUCUUUGUCUGCGAGACGACGGCUCUAACCUCCAACGACAGUCUGGAUUUUUUGGGUGCACUCACGACGACGAGGAAUAAUAAUUACUACUCCAAGUUCGUAUCAUUUGAGGGUUUGGGAUCAGUCGAGAAUAUAUCUUUCGAUGACUUCUACUAAAUCUCGAUAGGUAGGCUCAUGAUUAAUAAUAUACUUGAUGGUGAUCCGCCUUUUUCACUUGAAAGAAAAAGAAGUCAAAUUACAUACAUUUUGCAUAAGUGUUUUAUAUUAGCGUCUACAUGAAGAUCAUAUAGCUAGAUGGGAGUUAUUGAAGUGUUUUGUAUUUGAUGAAUAAAUGUAAUUAUGUGUCGCGGCUUUAAUUUUGGUAAUCCUUGCUCAACAUGAUAAACAAAACACACUUUUCUUUUUAGGAAAUUUCUUGUUUCUCUUGUAAUGUAUAUACCCGUUAUAUCA